AUGUUUAUCCUUUUUCCGUUCAAAUCCUUUUUAACACCUCAGUGGAUGAAUUAAUUAUCAGAGUAGUUUCUUCCCCUUCACUCAGAUCAUGUUCAAAACUUAAAUCCAAUUUUUCAUCUUAAGAACUGGAAACUUGCUGCUAAAUGGAGGCGACUUAGGAGAGUUACCAAGAAAUGAUCCAGGCUUUCCAUCCAGCCACCCCCAGCGCCCCCCUUCCUUCUGAAUCUGGGGCCAGGUGUUGGGCAAUCUGUGGAUGAGCUGCCACUCCCCAGCCUGGGGAAUGUAGGGAGGCUGAUUACUCCCUUCUCAGCCUCUGAUUCCGGAACGUACGGCAGUGAUGGAAUUCAGCAAUCCUCCAUCGCAGCUCGCCAGCAGCUCCUCCCCCAAAUGCUC